UACAGAGGUCUCGAGCGUUAGGCGGAAUCACUGGGCUUAAAGCGUGUGUAGGUGGAUCGUUAAGUACCUUGUGAAAUCCCACGGCUUAACCGUGGAACUGCUUGGUAUACUGGCGGUCUUGAGCCAGCUAGGGGCUACCGGAACAAAUGGUGGAGCGGUGAAAUGCGUUGAUAUCGGAAGGAACUCCGGUGGCGAAAGCGACACGCUGGAUCUCAUCUGACGCUGAGGCGCGAAAGCCAGGGGAGCGAACGGG
rnacentral:rRNA from 1 species